rnacentral:rRNA from 1 species
AGCUCCAAUAGCAUAUACCAAUUCUGUUGUGGUUAAAAAGCUCGUAGUUGGAUCUCAACGGGCCGGGGGCGGUUCGCUGUUUGGCGUUACUGCCCCGCCCGCCCGUGUCUUUUGGCGGAGGUCGCCGGGUGCUCUUGACCGGGUGUCCGGCGGCGCCGCCAGGUUUACUUUGAAAAAAUUAGAGUGCUCCAAGCAGGCCUGCCACGCUUGAAUACUUGUGCAUGGAAUAAUGGAAUAGGACGUCGUUUCUAUUUUGUUGGUUUUCUGAAAUCGACGUAAUGAUUAAUAGGGACAGUCGGGGGCAUUAGUAUUCAGACGACAGAGGUGAAAUUCUUGGACCGUCUGAAGACUCACUACUGCGAAAGCAUUUGCCAAGAAUGUUUUCA